GAUGAACGCUGGCGGCGUGGAUAAGGCAUGCAAGUCAAACGGCAGCACGGGAGCAAUCCUGGUGGCGAGUGGCGAACGGGUGAGUAAAGUAUCGGAACGCGCCCAGUCGUGGGGGAUAGCGUAGCGAAAGUUACGCUAAUACCGCAUACGUUCUAUGGAUGAAAGCGGGGGAUCGCAAGACCUCGCGCGAUUGGAGCGGCCGAUAUCAGAUUAGGUAGUUGGUGGGGUAAAGGCUCACCAAGCCGACGAUCUGUAGCUGGUCUGAGAGGACGACCAGCCACACUGGGACUGAGACACGGCCCAGACUCCUACGGGAGGAAGCAGUGGGGAAUUUUGGACAAUGGGCGCAAGCCUGAUCCAGCCAUGCCGCGUGCAGGAUGAAGGCCUUCGGGUUGUAAACUGCUUUUGUACGGAACGAAAAGGUUUGGCCUAAUACGCUGAACUCAUGACGGCACCGUAAGAAUAAGCACCGGCUAACUACGUGCCAGCAGCCGCCGUAA
rnacentral:rRNA from 1 species